rnacentral:rRNA from 1 species
UGGGGAAUAUUGGACAAUGGGGGGAACCCUGAUCCAGCCAUGCCGCGUGUGUGAAGAAGGUCUUCGGAUUGUAAAGCACUUUAAGUUGGGAGGAAGGGCAGUAAGCGAAUACCUUGCUGUUUUGACGUUACCGACAGAAUAAGCACCGGCUAACUCUGUGCCAGCAGCCGCGGUAAUACAGAGGGUGCAAGCGUUAAUCGGAAUUACUGGGCGUAAAGCGCGCGUAGGUGGUUCGUUAAGUUGAAUGUGAAAGCCCCGGGCUCAACCUGGGAACUGCAUCCAAAACUGGCGAGCUAGAGUAGGGCAGAGGGUGGUGGAAUUUCCUGUGUAGCGGUGAAAUGCGUAGAUAUAGGAAGGAACACCAGUGGCGAAGGCGACCACCUGGGCUCAUACUGACACUGAGGUGCGAAGGCGUGGGGAGCAAACAGG